CCUACGGGAGGCAGCAGUGGGGAAUUUUGGACAAUGGGCGAAAGCCUGAUCCAGCAAUGCCGCGUGAGUGAAGAAGGCCUUCGGGUUGUAAAGCUCUUUUGUCAGGGAAGAAACGGUGUGGGCUAAUAUCCUGCACUAAUGACGGUACCUGAAGAAUAAGCACCGGCUAACUACGUGCCAGCAGCCGCGGUAAUACGUAGGGUGCAAGCGUUAAUCGGAAUUACUGGGCGUAAAGCGUGCGCAGGCGGUUUUGUAAGUCUGUCGUGAAAUCCCCGGGCUCAACCUGGGAAUUGCGAUGGAGACUGCAAGGCUAGAAUCUGGCAGAGGGGGGUAGAAUUCCACGUGUAGCAGUGAAAUGCGUAGAGAUGUGGAGGAACACCGAUGGCGAAGGCAGCCCCCUGGGUCAAGAUUGACGCUCAUGCACGAAAGCGUGGGGAGCAAACAGGAUUAGAUACCCUGGUAGUCCACGCCCUAAACGAUGUCUACUAGUUGUCGGGUUUUAAUUAACUUGGUAACGCAGCUAACGCGUGAAGUAGACCGCCUGGGGAUACGGUCGCAAGAUUAAAACUUAAGGAAUUGACGG
rnacentral:rRNA from 1 species